rnacentral:lncRNA from 1 species
GAGUCUACGAUGAGAGAGCGACAGUGGCGGAUCUAAAAAAAUUUUUAGAGGGGUGAAAUGAAAUAAAAAAUAAAUAUAAAAAGAUAAAUAUUAUUAAAUUUAAUUGUUAAGAAAUAUUGCGUAAAAAAGAAAGAAAUGCAUCAUUUUGAAUUAUAAUAGUUUUCGACGUAAUUUUUAUUUUGAAAGUGUUGCAUGAUGGCAUCAUUAGAUA